UACGGAAGGGGCAAGCGUUGUUCGGAAUCAUUGGGCGUAAAGGGCGCGUAGGCGGUUCGUUAAGUCCUGUGUGAAAUCCCCCGGCUCAACUGGGGAACUGCACAGGAAACUAGCGGGCUUGAGUUCGGGAGAGGGAAGCGGAAUUCCGGGUGUAGCGGUGAAAUGCGUAGAUAUCAGGAGGAACACCGGCGGUGUAGACGGCUUGCUAGACCACCCCUGACGCUGAGGCACGAAAGCGUGGGUAGCAAACAGG
rnacentral:rRNA from 1 species